GGCCGCCUAGUCUAGCGGUUAUGAUUUCUCCUUUACAUUUUAUGUUUGUUGUUGUGAUUCCACAACCGACUGAAAAAGAAAAAAUUUAUAUAAACGGAGAAGGUCGCAGGUUCGAACCCUGCGGCGGUCA
rnacentral:tRNA from 1 species